CCGAUUUCGCACACACCCAUGCCUCCCUUUCUCUCUUAUAGAGACGUGUCCUUGAAUGGUGACGGUUCCAGGGCCAGUGUUAUAACGAUGAUAAGGAAUUCGAUCAAAAUAGAUUCAAGGAGCAAUAAUUUCAAUCGACAGAUAUAGAAUCGACCCAAAAUAGACAUUCCUACCAGCCUACCAUUCACGUCAAAACCCCGAAACCCUCUUCUUCUUCCAUUCCUCAUCCAUCCAUCCGUCUUCACCCCGGCAUCGUCACUACCAUCGUUUCCGCCCAUCCUCAGCAGCAACACCCUCGUUCGCCGCUGCCGCCGCUCACCAAUUCGCCGUCAGCGGCUGUUUUUCCGGCCCUCUCCGACGGCGUCCUUUCUCAGGUGACAAUCUUACCUUGCUGGGCCACAAGCCAAAAAGAAUUGAAUGCUGCCCGCUACUUCGCCGUCAAAUGAGACGGAGUUUUCGUUACCUUCUCGUUAUCUAAUGGGCCAGAAUAUCACAUGUUACAGGGUUUGGGCAUACAUUGAAGAAUACGGGCUGGGCUUGGACAGAGAUUGGCUCGGUCUAACCCGGCCCGUUGACACAUCUAUCUGAAAAACCCCCUGUUGUAGGAAGCUGGGGGCCAUAGAGAUCCCCGUGAGAAACUCACUUCGUUCAUCAAUUUCUUAACUUCACUAUAAGGGUCGCGGUUUGGCUAGUUACGCUGCCAGUAACCAGGUCAGUGCUCUGUGGGCCCCAUCACGAUGUUAUGUUUCAUCCACGCCAUCCAUCCAUUUUUCCAGAUCAUUUUAGGGCUUGAUCCAAGAAAUUGGGCAGAUCUAAAUCUCAGGUGGACCACACCACAGGAAAACAGUAGCGAUUGAAUGUCCACCAUUAAAAUCUCCAGGGGCCCACUGUGAUGUUUAUAUAGCAUCCAACCUGUUGAUUAGGUCAUACGGACUUGGAUGAAGGUUAAAAAAAAAAAAAACCAAAUAUUAGCUUGAUCCAAAACUUUUGUGGCCCCCAACAAGUUUUUAAUGGUGGGUGUUCAAUCAACACUGUUUCCUUUGAUGCUGUCCCCUUGAGAUUUGGAUCUACCUCAUUUUUGGGCUCUUACCAUAAAAUGAUCUAGAAAAAUGGAUGGAUGACGUUGAUGAAACACAUAUCAUGAUGGGGCCCACAGAGCACCAACCAAUAGCUAGCAGCAUCAGUAGCCGAACCCGGUCCCACAAUAAGACGGGAGUCCAAAUAUUAAGAUGAUCCAAAACUCAGGUGGGCCAUGACAGAAAACAGUGAGAAUGGAAACCUCCACUGUUGAAACUUUGCUAGAGCCAACCAUGAUGUUUAUAUGCCAUCCAAACCAUUUGUAUGGUUAUUACAAUUGGGAUAAACCGUAGGCACAAAUAUCAUCCCAAUGUAAAGCUUCUGUGGUCCCCACAGUUUCGAAUGGUGGGUGUUGAAUCCCCAUUGUUUCUUGUCCUAUGGCUCACUUGAGUCUUGGAUCUACCUGAUUUUUGGAUUCCUGUUCUAUAUGAGCUUGAGAAAUUGAUGGACAAAGUGGAUUUCAUGGGAAUAUCUAUUGAGCCCACAUAGAACUUCCUGUGAGAGAGGGGCAUGGGCAAUUUGCAUCUGUGUGGGCAUUAAUGGUGGAUUGCGUGCAGCCCGAAAUGUCCCUAGCAGCCAAGCUCUGUGGGGCCCACUGUGAAUAUGUAUUUUAUCCUGGCCAACCAUCCGUUUGCCAGCUCGAGCCCAAAAAUGAGGCAUAUCCGAAGCUCAAGUAGGCCACACCACAUGAAACAGUGGAGAUGAUGAUGCCCACUGUUGAAAUCUUCCUUGGGCCCACCGUGAUGUUUAUUUUCCAUCCAACCUGUUCAUCAGGUCACACAGACCUGAAUGAAUGGAAAGCAGAAACAUCAGCUUCAUCCAAACUUCCGUGGCCCCAAGAAGCUUUCAACAGUAGGCUGUUUCCUAUGUUACGGUCUACUUGAGCUUUGGAUGAGCCGGCAAAACAAAUGACUUGAAUGGAUAAAACACAAAUAUCACGGUGGGCCCCACAGAGUCAUGCCACCGCCCACCUGAGAUAUCACUGGUGGGUGUCCCUCAAGGAGAGGUGAAAGGAUCUGUGAGGGAGACUCAAUCAACUGUCCGAAAGUUGCUAUGCUAGGAGAGAGCCGAAAUCAUGCCUCCCCAGCCGUCCGUGAUUACAUCAAGGAUGCUCACUGGAUUGGGUGGCAUAGGAAAAAAUGGCUUUCUUAGCUGCAUGAGAAGUUGCAUGUUCCUUUGUUGGCGGAUCGCGCUUUGUGGUGCCCGAUGGAGAAUUUUUAUUGGGCCCUGUCACAUUUACUAGGCCAUGCUAUAAAAAAUCAUCUCCUGAAGUCAUGAUAAAGGGGAUUGUGAAAGCUCUCCCAAACUUUGUUGCAUUUAUGGAUGAUAGUUGAAUAAAGUUUACAAACUUGCACAGGUUGAAGGUGAGCGUUGGAUGAAUUAUUGAUGGCGAAUGAGCUAAUGCCUGAACCAGACAACUUGCCCUAAAGGAAAAAAAAAAAAAAAGACAAUUUCUCCCAAAUGCAAGUUUAUUCAUCUCAUUUUGCAUUGCCAAUUUAAUUAGAGAUCUAAUCACCUAUUGAGAACAGGUGCUUGUAAGAUCUUUCCCACUAAUAUGCUACUUGCCUGGACAUCAAUACCAAGAAGAUGAACCUAUUCAAAAAACCAGGUUGAUUCACUCGUUCGGUGGCCGCACCUAUACAUUGAGUUAUACCGUUGGUUGUCCAUUAAUUCCAAUGGUUCACCCCAUCUUGUGAGCAACGUUAACUAAUUUUUUUGCUCGUGAUCUUGAUUAUUGGGCCUACCAUUUUCAUGGUGCAUAUUUCCUACAUAGGUUGCAUGUUGGCCGGAAAGAUGGUAUGUCACCACAAGUUAUGGCAUCAUUGCUUUGCCUAUAGUGGUCUAUUUGCAUUUGAUUAUUCACACAGGGAUUAAACAAAAAACCCUAAAAAAGGAACAUGAGAUCCUAUCAUAAGGUAGUCCUAAAACCAUUUGGGUACAUUUCUAAUUUUGAAUCACGAAUGAGAUGUUGAACAUUAAGAAUGCAUGCGAAUCGAGCGAGAAAUGAAACUAAUGUAUUCUUAUUGUAUGGCAUAGUCUAUGAAGUUCACGGAUAUCACCAACGUUGUAAUCCACGAUAUUCAUCUCUUGAACAACAAAUCUUUCCACAUCAGCGUAUUUAGGUCCCAAGGAGUUCAACUCUACAACAUCAAUAUCAUGGCUCCAGGGGACAGCCCUAAUACAGAUGGAAUACAUAUCAGUUCAUCUACAAACAUCAAUAUCACAACUUCAACCAUAGGCGUAGGUGAUGACUGUGUAUCAAUUGGAGAAGGCACCAAGGAUAUCUUCGUCUCUAGCAUAUUCUGUGGCCCAGGCCAUGGAAUCAGGAUGCUCAUUGGAUUGGGUGGCAUAGGAAAAAAUGCAAUCGUCUUCUGAAGUCGUGCUAAAGGGAAUGGUGAAGGCAAUCCCAGACCUUGUUGUAUUUACCAAUGAUAGCUGGAUAAAGUUCACAGAUGUGCACGAGUUGAUGAUGAGCAGUGGAUGAAUUAUUGACGGUCAAGUAGCUGAUGCCUGGAACCAAACAACCUGCCCUAAGGAAGAAAAAUGUCAAUUUCUCCCAACUUCGUGAUAAAGGGAAUGGUGAAGGCUCUCCCAGAACUUGUUGCAUUUAUCGAUGUUAGCUGGAUAAAGUUCAUAUACUUGCACAGGUUGAUAGUGAGCGGUGGAUGAAUUAUUGACGGUCGAGGAGCUGAUGCUUGGAACCAGACAACCUGCCUCGAGGAAAAAAAUGUCAAUUUCUCCCAAUUCCUUGCGAAUGCUGAUCAACCACAUUACUUACAAAAGCAUCACCGGUAGCAAGUUUGCAGUCUUUCUUGCUUUCUUGCAGUGCAGCCGUUCCAUGCCAAGACAUUCAACUUUACUGAUAUGGUAUUGGCAAGAUCAUCUCCUAUUGCUCUAACAUUGAUCAACUGACUACUUCAAGCAUAUAGAAUCCAUCACUUACAAAACACAAUGUAAGCAGUCCUUACCAGAGAAACACCACUUGUAUCUAUUUGGUAACAUUUGAAUAUUUAGAAGGGAGUAGGAAGAUCCAAAUCUCAAUUGGACCGCACCACAGGAAACAGGGAAUUAGGGAAUUGAACACUACCAUUAAAAACUUCUUGGAGCCA